GAUGAAAACGUAGCGAAAUGCGAUAAGUAAUGUGAAUUGCAGAAUUCAGUGAAUCAUCGAAUCUUUGAACGCACAUUGCGCCCGCCAGUAUUCUGGCGGGCAUGCCUGUUCGAGCGUCAUUACAACCCUCAGGCCUCCGGGCCUGGCGUUGGGGAUCGGCGGAGCCCCCCGUGGGCACACGCCGUCCCCCAAAUACAGUGGCGGUCCCGCCGCUGCUUCCGUUGCGUAGUAGCUAACACCUCGCAACUGGAGAGCGGCGCGGCCACGCCGUAAAACACCCAACUUCUGAAUGUUGACCUCGAAUCAGGUAGGAAUACCCGCUGAACUUAAGCAUAUCAAUAAGCGGAGGA
rnacentral:misc_RNA from 1 species